GACGAACGCUGGCGGCGUGCUUAACACAUGCAAGUCGAACGCUGAAGCUUGGUGCUUGCACUGGGUGGAUGAGUGGCGAACGGGUGAGUAAUACGUGAGUAACCUGCCCUUGACUCUGGGAUAAGCCUGGGAAACUGGGUCUAAUACUGGAUAUGACAUGCCACUGCAUGGUGGUGUGUGGAAAGGGUUUUACUGGUUUUGGAUGGGCUCACGGCCUAUCAGCUUGUUGGUGGGGUAAUGGCCUACCAAGGCGACGACGGGUAGCCGGCCUGAGAGGUUGACCGGCCACACUGGGACUGAGACACGGCCCAGACUCCUACGGGAGGCAGCAGUGGGGAAUAUUGCACAAUGGGCGGAAGCCUGAUGCAGCGACGCCGCGUGAGGGAUGACGGCCUUCGGGUUGUAAACCUCUUUCAGCACGGAAGAAGCGAGAGUGACGGUACGUGCAGAAGAAGCGCCGGCUAACUACGUG
rnacentral:rRNA from 1 species